ACCUUCUGUGGUGUAGUUAGUAGCGCCUUGGCUUUGUAAGUAAAAGUUCUAGGUUUAAGUCCCAGUUGGGGUA